rnacentral:tRNA from 1 species
AGGGCGGUGGCUGAGUGGUAAAGCGCUUGACUUCCGAACCAAAAGGUCCUGGGUUCGAAUCCUGGUUAUUUUG